rnacentral:rRNA from 1 species
GAUGAACGCUGGCGGCGUGCCUAAUCCAUGCAAGUCGAGCGACCGAACGCGAGGAUCACUUCUCUGAUGUUAGCGCCGGACGGGUGCGUAACAGAUGGAUACCCUACCUAUAAGACUGGGAUACCUUCGGGAAACCGUAGCUAAUACCGGGUACUAUUUUGAACCUAAUGGUUCAAAAGUGAAAGCCGGUCUUGCUGUCACUUAUAGAUGGAUCCGCGCUGCAUUAGCUAGUUGGUAAGGUAACGGCUUACCAAGGCAACGAUGCAUAGCCGACCUGACAGGGUGAUCGGCCACACUGGAACUGAGACACGGUCCAGACUCCUACGGGAGGCAGCAGUAGGGAAUCUUCCGCUAUGGGCGAAAGCCUGACGGAGCAACGCCGCGUGAGUGAUGAAGGUCUUCGGAUCGUAAAACACUGUGAUUAGGGAAGAACAGAUGUGUAAGUAACUAUGCACAUCUUGACGGUACCUAAUCAGAAAGCCACGGCUAACUUCGUG